UAUUGGUCAAUAGCCUAACGGCUGAACCAGCAACUUGUAGGAAUGUAUAGGGAAAACUGGUAAAAUGUGAUGUACCUAGUAAUAUUUGUAAAAAAUAUGAGAUUAACUAAGUUAAUUAAAAUUCUAAGUGGAUGUUUGAUUAUGACAAUAUCUGCAUAGGUCUUGACCAAGUCACGUGCCAGCAGUCGCGGUAAUACGUGGAAGACGAGUGUUAUUCAUCUUUAUUGGGUUUAAAGGGUACCUAGACAGUUAAUUAAGCAAUUAGAUGUACUAAUUAACUAGAGUUUAAUGUAAGAAGGAUUGAGUACAGUGAGUGUAGAGAUAAAAUUCGUUGAUACCACUUAGGAACUGGUAAGAGCGAAGGCUACCUUCAAUGUAAAAACUGACGUUGAAGGACGAAGGA
rnacentral:rRNA from 1 species